UGGGGAAUCUUGGACAAUGGGGCAACCCUGAUCCAGCGAUGCCGCGUGGGUGAAAAAGGCCUUCGGGUUGUAAAGCCCUUUAGGCUGGGAAGAAGUGUGCGGGGUGAAUAAUCCUGUACAUUGACUGUACCAGCAGAAUAAGCACCGGCAAACUCUGUGCCAGCAGCCGCGGUAAUACAGAGGGUGCGAGCGUUAAUCGGAUUUACUGGGCGUAAAGGGCGCGUAGGCGGUCAAAUGAGUGUGAUGUGAAAGCCCCGGGCUUAACCUGGGAAGUGCAUCGCAAACGAUUUGACUGGAGUAGAUGAGAGGGUGGUGGAAUUUCCGGUGUAGCGGUGAAAUGCGUAGAGAUCGGAAGGAACGUCAAUGGCGAAGGCAGCCACCUGGCAUCAUACUGACGCUGAGGCGCGAAAGCGUGGGGAGCGAA
rnacentral:rRNA from 1 species